rnacentral:rRNA from 1 species
GACGAACCGUGCGAACGUUGUUCGGAAUCACUGGGUUUAAAGGGUGCGUAGGUGGAGUGGUAAGUCAGUGGUGAAAUCUCCAAGCUUAACUUGGAAACUGCCGUUGAUACUAUCAUUCUUGAAUAUCGUGGAGGUAAGCGGAAUAUGUCAUGUAGCGGUGAAAUGCUUAGAUAUGACAUAGAACACCGAUUGCGAAGGCAGCUUGCUACACGAUCAUUGACACUGAGGCACGAAAGCGUGGGGAUCAAACAGG